AUCAGUUCUGGGGAGUUAGCACCAGCUUCCAAGAGGGGCGGAGUCAUUUUGGGAAGAGGAAAACCAGCCAAUAAUUCUGUAUUUGAGAUCUCAAAGAUUUCUCUAGGCCCUUGCAAAGCUUGUAGGCCCCAGCUACUGUUACCAUGGAGCCUGAUAGAUGAAACAGCCCUAGUGGACGAGAAGGACGGUUGUUCCUCUGCUGGGCAGAUGAGGAAUCUGAAGCUGGACAGGGGAAAGGACGUGGAGAAAGUCGCACAGCAGAGCAGGAGCUCAAAGAGUUUUGUCAGACACCAAGGACCCAGUCUUUCCUAGAAAGUUUGCAAAGCCCUGCCUCCUUGGUAGAUUUCCUUUCUGCUCUCCUGCAAGUGCCCUGCUGAGCCUCUGGGUAGACCUGACUGGGUUGCCCCUUCGUUGCCAAGGACGGAUCAUCUUGCUGGGCUUUCCCAGGGGCAUUAAUGAAACAGCUCCUGUGGUUGCAGCCACACAAAGCACAGUCAAGAUGGAAGUGAUUGCUGUCAUCGCUCAUGGUGGAAGUAGCGGUCCUGGAAACAUUACAGGAUGCUCUCAGAGAAUGCUGCUGUCACAAAGGAAUGAAACGAAUGGACAACCACCUCUCGUUAAGAGAACUUCUUCAUUCAGGCUCCCUGUUGAAGCGAACUCUGCACAUUGGACCACUGGCAUGUCUCUCCCAUUUCUAAAUGAUGGGUGGUGGAAAAUUCAGUUCUGCCCCUCCACAACACUGCAGCACGGCCUUCAGAACGCAAACUAAGUGCGAGGAAGCAUCCAUGAACCAAAAGCUCAAAGAUCCCUGCCUUUAAGAGCUGCCAUUCCAGUGGGGAGAAACAGAUAAGUGUCAUAAAUAAGUAAAUAAUAUAGAAUGUAAAAAAAAAUUACAAAUCACAAUGCGAUCCCAUUUCACAUCCACUAGGAUGGCUAUAAUAAAAAAGACAGACAAAAACACAUUGUGGCAGGGAUGUGGAGAAAUCAGAAUCCUCAUACACUGCUGGUGGGACGUAAAAUGGGACAGCCACUUUAGAAAAGUUCCUGAAAAAGUUAAACAUGGAGUUACCAUAUGAUCCAGAAAUUCUACUCCUACUUAUAGACCCAAGAGAUUGAAAAUAUGUCUACACAAAAACUUGUCACAACUAUUCAUAGCAGCAUUAGUCAUGAUAGCCAAAAAGUGGGAACAACCCAAAUGUUCAUCAACUGAUGAAUGGAUAAAUAAAAUGUGGUAUAUCUAUGCAAUAGAAUAUUAUUCAGGCAAAAAAACUAAUCAAGUAUUGACAUAUAAUACAACAUGGAUGAACCUUAAAAACAUUACGCUAAGUGAAAAAAGCUAGACCCAAAAGACCACACACUGUAUCAUUCAAUUUAUAUGAAAUGUCCAUAAUAGGCAAAUCCAUACAGACAGAAAGUAAAUCACUGGUUACCAGGGGCCGAGAGAAGGGGGAAUUGGAGAGUGACUGCUACUGGGUCCAGAUUUUCUUUUGGGGAUGACGAAACUGUUCUGGAAUUAGCUAGCAGUGACACUGGCACAACUUUGUGAAUAUCCUAAAAAUCACUUAAUUGUACACUUUAAAAGCGUUAUUUUAUGGUAUAGGAAUUAUUUCAAUUUUUUUAAAAAAGGGUUAUGGUUGCUAUGAAAUAAAAGAAAAAAUAGAACAGGUUAGGGGUAUAUGGAGUGAGUCAGGCAGGCAGGUUGCAAUUUUAAAUAGAGUGGUCAAAAUAGUUCUGAGAAGAGAACAUUUAGGCAAGAAUUUGGAAGGGGUAUGGGAGAUAGUCGUGUGAUCAUGAGGCAGAGGUCUUCCAGGCAAAGCAGAGAAGCAGCGCGCAGGAGGGAGCGUGCCUUUGGUGGUUGGGGAACAAGAAGAGGCCUGUGUGGCUAGAGUGAAGGAAAUAAGGCGGUGGGGAGCGGUGCAGUCAGAUCCUGUUGGGUCUUGUAGGCCAUUAUCAGGACUUUGGCUUUUACCCUGAGUGAAAUGGGGAUCCACUGAAGGAUGUUGAGCAGAGGAGUGACCUGAUCUACCUUAUAGUUUAAAGGAUUACUCUGGCUGCUGUGCUGAGAAGCAUAAUAAUUGUUAUCAAUUAGGAGCCAAGAUCUGCUCUGGCAUGAAGCACU
rnacentral:lncRNA from 1 species